CAGCCGCCGCGGUAAUACGUAGGUGGCAAGCGUUGUCCGGAAUUAUUGGGCGUAAAGCGCGCGCAGGUGGUUUAAUAAGUCUGAUGUGAAAGCCCCCGGCUCAACCGGGGAGGGUCAUUGGAAACUGGUUGACUUGAGUGCAGAAGAAGAGAGUGGAAUUCCAUGUGUAGCGGUGAAAUGCGUAGAUAUAUGGAGGAACACCAGUGGCGAAGGCGACUCUCUGGUCUGUAACUGACGCUGAGGCUCGAAAGCGCGGGUAGCAAACAGGAUUAGAUACCCCUGUAGUCCCUGUCUCUUAUAA
rnacentral:rRNA from 1 species